rnacentral:tRNA from 1 species
GAGGGUACAGCUCAGUGGUAGAGCACAUGGUUAGCAUGCAUGAGGUCCUGGGUUCAAUCCCCAGUACCUCCA